rnacentral:rRNA from 1 species
GAGUUACAACUCCCAACCCCAAUGUGAACGUUACCAAUCUGUUGCCUCGGCGGGAUUCUCUGCCCCGGGCGCGUCGCAGCCCCGGAUCCCAUGGCGCCCGCCGGAGGACCAACUCAAACUCUUUUUUCUCUCCGUCGCGGCUUCCGUCGCGGCUCUGUUUUACCUUUGCUCUGAGCCUUUCUCGGCGACCCUAGCGGGCGUCUCGAAAAUGAAUCAAAACUUUCAACAACGGAUCUCUUGGUUCUGGCAUCGAUGAAGAACGCAGCGAAAUGCGAUAAGUAAUGUGAAUUGCAGAAUUCAGUGAAUCAUCGAAUCUUUGAACGCACAUUGCGCCCGCCAGUAUUCUGGCGGGCAUGCCUGUCCGAGCGUCAUUUCAACCCUCGAACCCCUCCGGGGGGUCGGCGUUGGGGAUCGGCCCCUCACCGGGCCGCCCCCGAAAUACAGUGGCGGUCUCGCCGCAGCCUCUCCUGCGCAGUAGUUUGCACACUCGCACCGGGAGCGCGGCGCGGCCACAGCCGUAAAACACCCCAAACUCUGAAAUGUUGACCUCGGAUCAGGUAGGAAUACCCGCUGAACUUAA